rnacentral:rRNA from 1 species
GACGAACGCUGGCGGCGUGCUUAACACAUGCAAGUCGAACGGAAAGGCCCUGCUUUUGUGGGGUUCUCGAGUGGCGAACGGGUGAGUAACACGUGAGUAACCUGCCCUUGACUUUGGGAUAACUUCAGGAAACUGGGGCUAAUACCGGAUAGGAGCUCCUGCUGCAUGGGGGGGGUUGGAAAGUUUCGGUGGUGGGGGAUGGACUCGCGGCUUAUCAGCUUGUUGGGGGGGUAGGGGCUUACCAAGGCUUUGGCGGGUAGCCGGCCUGGGAGGGUGACCGGCCACAUUGGGACUGAGAUACGGCCCAGACUCCUACGGGAGGCAGCAGUGGGGAAUAUUGCACAAUGGGCGGAAGCCUGAUGCAGCAACGCCGCGUGCGGGAUGACGGCCUUCGGGUUGUAAACCGCUUUCGCCUGUGACGAAGCGUGAGUGACGGUAAUGGGUAAAGAAGCACCGGCUAACUACGUG